rnacentral:rRNA from 1 species
GAUGAACGCUCGCGGGAGGCCUAACACAUGCAAGCCGAGCGGUAGAGUUUCUUCGGAAACUUGAGAGCGGCGCACGGGUGCGUAACACGUGUGCAACCUACCUUUAUCUGGGGGAUAGCCUUUCGAAAGGAAGAUUAAUACCCCAUAAUAUAAUGAUUGGCAUCAAUUAUUAUUGAAAACUCCGGUGGAUAGAGAUGGGCACGCGCAAGAUUAGAUAGUUGGUGAGGUAACGGCUCACCAAGUCAAUGAUCUUUAGGGGUCCUGAGAGGGAGAUCCCCCACACUGGUACUGAGACACGGACCAGACUCCUACGGGAGGCAGCAGUGAGGAAUAUUGGACAAGGGGUGAGAGCCUGAUCCAGCCAUCCCGCGUGAAGGAUGACGGUCCUAUGGAUUGUAAACUUCUUUUGUACAGGGAUAAACCUACCCUCGGGAGGGUAGCUGAAGGUACUGUACGAAUAAGCACCGGCUAACUCCGUG